CUUCCUGGCAGGCCCUGCUUAGGUAGGAAUAACCUUGCCUUGCAGCACUGAUGUCUUAGCAGCAAGUCGGCGACGCUGUCAGCGAGUCCAUCUUUGCCAUUGAGGCCCAGGGCUGGGAACAGCCCAAGGAUGCCAGGAAGCAAGGGGGCAUUUGGCCAAUGUCCCAAGGGAUCCUUAUGGGACCGGGGAUAUUGUCAACCGCCCAGCGCAGUGUACACUGCCAGUGAACGGGGGCAAAGUAAGUUCCCACUGGCAGUGAUUUCUCUUCUCACUCUUCCAGGCAGGGGGUUGCUAUGGGGACUUCAGCACCUGGAAGUGCAACUGUGGCCUGAGAUCUCCGCUGUGUGCAGAGGGGAAGAUAGAACUCUGUCCUUUCCUGCAGAAUUUCCUCUCUUGGGGGAGGCGCAGUUAUCCCAGAGCCUGCUGGGCAGAUUCUCCUGCAAAGUUCCAGCCGGAAAGGCGCCCCAAGCUCCAGAAACAGAGAACGGGGGGAUACCCUCAGCCCCCGGUAUUUACCACUUUGCUCUCUGCAGGGCAGGCCUAGCCCUCCCCAGCUCCUCCUGAUUCUGCGUUUUCUGCAGCACUUAACCUUUUUGCUGGUUCUUCAGCCUGGGCAGGACCCUGCGGGGGCUUAACAAACCCAGGGGCCCCAUGCGGUCCCUCACAGAAAGUCCUGGGACUCAGCCUGGCAGUCACGUCUCUCUGCAGGGGGAGCUGCUCUGCCCGCUCCGCUGGCCCCCCGGGUGUGUUCCAGCAAGCCCUCAGUGAUUCCACCAGGGAAGAAAUGAGUCAUCGUAUCUGUCGAUACAGGCUGUAGGCUGCCACAAACACAUACCUGCAGGAGCUUCUAAUCUCGUCAGGAACAUGUUGAGAACCUGCAGACCUGUUAUAACGGCGGACCGCUCCGUGCCAAGCAGCGGGAACUGCUGUGCUUUCUCUCGGCUGCAGCCCAGAGUCUCCUUCAGGGCCAGGGGAAUGGAAAACGGGGUUUUCAUGCUGUGGACUGUCCUGCCAGAGCAGGUUCCGGGGACUGGGCAGCUGGCAUAACAACCUGCCACAGUUGCUUUAGGGUGGACCUCCGUAAGACCCCUCUGCAAAUCUUGUCCAGGUGGGCUGUGGCGCCAGAUGGGGGACAGCGGGUCUGGUUAGGCUUUGGCAGGUGUCUGUCCUCCACUACACCCCCUCUUUUUGGCUCCAGAUCUAAGUAGGCUGCCUCCCCAAAACAGAAGCAAGACCCCCAGGCCACACUUGGGCCACUGAGAGCUGUGGGGGACACCCCUGCCCUGGGGCUGGAGGUAGGGGUGGGGUGGGGAUGGGUUCAAAGCCCCGGCGCUGAGGAGGUACAUUUGCAGGAGGAGAGAAAGGAAGACCCAGCCUGGGCUCAGGACUCUCUAGUCAGGGCCUGUGGUUGGCCACAAGGGAGCCAGAGCUGUACGAAAAUGACCCAGAGCCGCUAGGGAUCAGCUGAGAUGUGAUUGCUCCCCGGAGGGCUGAUGAGAAAGUCGUGGACAGGGAAAUCCAGACAGACCAAUGGCCAGAGCUAGGCUUACAGGUCUGGAGCAAUGAGAUCUCCCUCCUUGGCUCCCUGCCUGGAGAAUUCCUGAAACUCAGGGGUGAAUUUUACUGAGUUCAUCAAUUUCACACUUUGUUGCGUCUCAGGCAUCAGACGUGAGUGUCUUAGGGGUCCUGAGACAUAUCGGGGGACCCUCAGCCCCCGAUAGAACAGAUCCCAGCUUGAAGCAAGUGUCUGGGGACUCCUACCUCUAACUCUCCCUCUCCACUGGACGAGCUCCAUGAGGCUGUGUUGUGGAAGGAGUAGGACUCGGUGGAACAGGAAUGCAUUCUGGCCAGUCUGAGAAUCGCUAGAAUGUGCCAAGCUCAGAUUCAGAUGCCAGUGACCGAAGAUCUGUGGGUGUAACCACAACGAGGGCUGGGCACAUGGAGGAGAGACUGGAGCUGCUCUCUCGGAGUUUCUGCUUGGGCCACUGCUUCCUCAUCCUGGCAAGGUAGGGCCAGGCACGGGGGACAGAGUCCUGCUUCCAUCCUGCUUUCCCCUCGGCUUUGGGUGAGCUCUAAUGACUUGGGAGUGAAUCAGUACAGACUGAGAUGAUACGAUAGGGAAGAAAGGAGACGACAGCACCGAGGCUGGAAAUGUCACCUCUCCCAGGACCAGCCUCAGGAAACACACUCGGGGUCUGGACAGUGCUGGAGGCGAAUGGACACCUGCCCGGCCCGGCCACAUCUUCUGCACGUGCUCACGGCUCCUGUCUUCACAUCCCACAGGCACGUAGACCACCGGCCUUGCUCACUGUCCACUGAGACCAGUAGCCACUGUCGAGGCCUCGUGAAAACUUGUUAGCUUUUUCCAAGAGAGACACAGCCUCAAAGGCACCCGAGAAGAGAGAGCACAGAAACACUUGCACUGAUCAUUUAGUCAUUUCUUCAUUCAACAUGCGUGUUUUGAGCAACUGCGGGGUGCUGUGCACUGAGCCGCCACAGUGGGGGCACAGCGGUGAACAAGACAGGCCCAUGGGAGAGACACAGGGUCUGAGGACAGGGCCAGGUCUCUUCCCCGACCUCCUUGCCAGGGCCAGCACAGUAAGCCACGCCACUUGCCUCGUGAGGGGGUGGCCCCGCAAAGGCUGGGUUGGGGAAUUCAGCCUGACUUGGUUUCAGAUAACUCCGUUCCCACAAGCCAUCCAGGGUGAGCCCCGGCCAGACUUUCCUAUGAGAAUCUUCUGGCUUUGACUCCUCCCCACCCCCUCCCAGCCAUGCCCAGAUGUCCCUCGGCGAUUCACUAGGAGAGGAGGAGGCUGGGUUCAGAGAGGUGAAGCCCUAACCCCAAAUCCCUCAGCAAGAUGGGGUUAGAGCCAGGACCAGGUCUGCCCUGUUCUGCACGCCAUCCAUUGCCCUGACUGUCUCUCCCUGGUUUCAGCAAGAGCCCAUUGACGUCCCACUCCAAGGCUGCAUGUGUUGGUUGCCUACGCAGGACCCUCUCUUGAGGCCAGGGUGGAAGGAGGCCUGCGUGGAUGGAGGGGCUGACCUCCGGCUGUCAUGGGUGAUGUGAUUUUACUGCUUCCCGACUCUCUCCUGUGUGCAGCCCUGAGAGUCGCUGGCACUGACCCAGGCCUUUCCAGGGUGGAGACAAGCCUCUGAGCCAAAGUCAGCACCAAGGCCCUUUCCCCCAAGGCAUUUGCCUGUGCCAGGCCACCAGGUCCCACCAGGUCCCAUCAGGCUGGGGCGCUGACCACAGAUGGGAGGGUGCAAACCCCUUCCUGUCCUGCCCCUCUCCCCUGCCUGUCCUCCCACUGACGGAUACAAGGAGGGAGGACUCAGACCUGGCUCCGUUGCCUGUGUUCAGAACCCCACCGUGCUCUCGGCUGACUCUAACCAAAUCCAUGUCCUCGGAAACUGUUUCCAGGGGCCCCAUGUCUUUCAUUCCACCUACCAGUGCCUGGGCUCCCAUGGCCGUUCAGCCUCAAUUCCCCUCUUCAGCCAGGUGGAUCCAUUCACACCCCACCCCAGGGCCCACUGUUCCCCAGCUUUCAUGCUUAGAAGGGUAGUUACGCUGAGUGCUGGCUCUGUCUCUGUCUCUGUCUUGGCUUCCCUGACACAGAACAUGAGGCAAAGAUCUAGUCUCUUCCAAAUGAGUGAGAUGUCUCUGACGAUCACUGGAUGGGGAGCUUCUCUGAAACUCUGGACUUUCCGUGAUCCCCAAACUCCUUGAAACACAGGGUGGGUCGGUGCCCAGGAUGUGCUUUGUGGCAUGACAGAAGACAAUCAGAGCAGCCAUGCUUACACAGCACUCACUGUGCCCAGGCAUGGUUCCAGACAGCGAGUGUAACUCAUUUACCACUCACGACCUCAUGAGGUGGGCCUGUUAUGAUGCCCAUUUUACAAACAAGAAAACUGAGGCCCAGAGGAGUUAAGUAGCUGGUAAGUGACAGAGCCUGGAUAUGAACCCUAAAGCCCUUGUCUCACCAUGGUUGACACUCGGCAGUCACUCAGGUGUCUCAGCAUCUUCCAGGGACCCUGAGGGAGAGGGAGCUCUAUCCCUGAGUGGAGAUGGGGGAUGACCUUGGGGAGACCCUCCCCUCUCUGGACUUCCAGAACCCGGGGUGGGGCAGCGGGACCUCUGGGGCAAGACUCCAGUGGAUUGGGGUCAUCCUAUACAACCUUCCUGGAGGGGAAGCUUGGGGACCAUCACUCCUCUCCCUCUCUCCCUGGGACCAGAGAUGGGGCAAAGGCCCAGAUGCCUCCAAGGCAGUGGUUUCCACAGGGCCAAGAAGUGACCAACAAUACUUCCCCGACACCUCAGGAGUGGUCCAGCAUCUUGGUUCAGCCUUCAGUUUUUCCUUCUAUUUCUCACCUCUCCCAACCCAGCAACUCCCUAUGGCCAAGACACCCACACAGGCCCGGCAGAGCUUCGCUCCAGAUGAGCAGAGGCCACCGACAGGAGGGAAUGAAAUGGGAAGACCCAGCCUGAGUGUCGUUUGCCAUUUUUGACCCUUAAGAAUGAGCCAGGCUACCCAGUGGCCUCAGAGGGAGUAGAUCAACUCCUGCCUGAGGCUGCGCCACUCAGAAAGGAAAUUAACUUCAUUUCAUUCCGAUAUGUAGCCUCGUUUCUUUUGGUGACGUUGGACCUCAUUUCCCCCACUCUUUUUUGAAACGAAUGGCUAUUGAAUUGCUUACUGUGUGCCCAAUGUGGGGCUAGGACUUAACAUGCAUUGUCUCAUUUAACACUCACAUUAUCCAAGGCAAUAAAGCACUAUUGUUAUUGCUGUUUUCUGAA